AGGACUAACGCUGGCGGCGUGCCUAACACAUGCAAGUCGAACGGGGUAGCAAUACCCAGUGGCAGACGGGUGAGUAACACGUGGUCAACCUACCUCUGUGUGGGGGAUAACUAGCCGAAAGGUUAGCUAAUACCGCAUACGAUCGUUUUGAGGCAUCUCGAGACGAUGAAAGGAGCAAUCCGCACGGAGAGGGGACUGCGUCCCAUUAGUUAGUUGGUGGGGUAACGGCCUACCAAGACUCCGAUGGGUAGCUGGCUUGAGAGAGCGACCAGCCACACUGGAACUGAGAAACGGUCCAGACUCCUACGGGAGGCAGCAGUGAGGAAUUUUCCGCAAUGGGCGAAAGCCUGACGGAGCGACGCCGCGUGUGGGAUGAAGGCCUUCGGGUCGUAAACCACUGUCGAAGGGGACGAUAAUGACGGUACCCUUGGAGGAAGCCCCGGCUAACGUACGUGCCAACGAGCCGC
rnacentral:rRNA from 1 species